AGCGAACGCUGGCGGCAGGCUUAACACAUGCAAGUCGAGCGGGCGUAGCAAUACGUCAGCGGCAGACGGGUGAGUAACACGUGGGAACGUACCUUUUGGUUCGGAACAACACAGGGAAACUUGUGCUAAUACCGAAUAAGCCCUUACGGGGAAAGAUUUAUCGCCGAAAGAUCGGCCCGCGUCUGAUUAGCUUGUUGGUGAGGUAACGGCUCACCAAGGCGACGAUCAGUAGCUGGUCNGAGAGGAUGAUCAGCCACACUGGGACUGAGACACGGCCCAGACUCCUACGGGAGGCAGCAGUGGGGAAUAUUGGACAAUGGGGGCAACCCUGAUCCAGCCAUGCCGCGUGAGUGAUGAAGGCCCUAGGGUUGUAAAGCUCUUUUGUGCGGGAAGAUAAUGACGGUACCGCAAGAAUAAGCCCCGGCUAACUUCGUGCCAGCAGCCGCCGUAAU
rnacentral:rRNA from 1 species